rnacentral:rRNA from 1 species
AGAGUUUGAUCAUGGCUCAGAUUGAACGCUGGCGGCAGGCCUAACACAUGCAAGUCGAACGGUAGCAGGAAGUGCUUGCACUUUGCUGACGAGUGGCGGACGGGUGAGUAAUACUUAGGGAUCUGCCUUUGAGAGGGGGAUAACUAUUGGAAACGAUAGCUAAUACCGCAUAACGUUUACGGACCAAAGGGGGCUUCGGCUCUCGCUCAAAGAGGAACCUAAGCGAGAUUAGCUUGUUGGUGAGGUAAAGGCACACCAAGGCGACGAUCUCUAGCUGUUCUGAGAGGAAGAUCAGCCACACUGGGACUGAGACACGGCCCAGACUCCUACGGGAGGCAGCAGUGGGGAAUAUUGCACAAUGGGGGAAACCCUGAUGCAGCCAUGCCGCGUGUGUGAAGAAGGCCUUCGGGUUGUAAAGCACUUUCAGUCGUGAGGAAAGGUUAGUAGUUAAUACCUGCUAGCUGUGACGUUAGCGACAGAAGAAGCACCGGCUAACUCCGUGCCAGCAGCCGCGGUAAUACGGAGGGUGCGAGCGUUAAUCGGAAUUACUGGGCGUAAAGCGCACGCAGGCGGAUUGUUAAGCUAGAGGUGAAAGCCCCGCGCUCAACGUGGGAAUGCCCUUUAGAACUGGCAGUCUAGAGUCUUGGAGGGGAGUGGAAUUCCAGGUGUAGCGGUGAAAUGCGUAGAGAUCUGGAGGAACAUCAGUGGCGAAGGCGACUCCCUGGCCAAAGACUGACGCUCAUGUGCGAAAGUGUGGGUAGCGAACAGGAUUAGAUACCCUGGUAGUCCACACCGUAAACGCUGUCUACUAGCUGUUUGUGUAUUAUAUACGUGAGUAGCGAAGCUAACGCGCUAAGUAGACCGCCUGGGGAGUACGGCCGCAAGGUUAAAACUCAAAUGAAUUGACGGGGGCCCGCACAAGCGGUGGAGCAUGUGGUUUAAUUCGAUGCAACGCGAAGAACCUUACCUACACUUGACAUACAGAGAACUUACCAGAGAUGGUUCGGUGCCUUCGGGAACUCUGAUACAGGUGCUGCAUGGCUGUCGUCAGCUCGUGUCGUGAGAUGUUGGGUUAAGUCCCGCAACGAGCGCAACCCUUGUCCUUAGUUGCCAGCAUUUAGUUGGGCACUCUAAGGAGACUGCCGGUGACAAACCGGAGGAAGGUGGGGACGACGUCAAGUCAUCAUGGCCCUUACGUGUAGGGCUACACACGUGCUACAAUGGCGAGUAC